GUAGGUGGCAAGCGUUGUCCGGGAUUAUUGGGCGUAAAGCGCGCGCAGGCGGUUCUUUAAGUCUGAUGUGAAAGCCCACGGCUCAACCGUGGAGGGUCAUUGGAAACUGGAGAACUUGAGUACAGAAGAGGAAAGCGGAAUUCCACGUGUAGCGGUGAAAUGCGUAGAGAUGUGGAGGAACACCAGUGGCGAAGGCGGCUUUCUGGUCUGUAACUGACGCUGAGGCGCGAAAGCGUGGGGAGCAAACAGGGAUUAGAUACCCUGGUAGUCCACGCCGUAAACGAUGAGUGCUAAGUGUUAGGGGGGUUUCCGCCCCCUUAGUGCUGCAGCUAACGCAUUAAGCACUCCGCCUGGGGAGUACGGCCGCAAGGCUG
rnacentral:rRNA from 1 species